UACGUAGGGGGCAAGCGUUGUCCGGAAUCAUUGGGCGUAAAGAGCGUGUAGGCGGUUCGGUAAGUCGGCUGUGAAAGUCCAGGGCUCAACCCUGGGAUGCCGGUCGAUACUGCCGGACUAGAGUUCGGGAGAGGCGAGUGGAAUUCCCGGUGUAGCGGUGAAAUGCGCAGAUAUCGGGAGGAACACCUAUGGCGAAGGCAGCUCGCUGGGACGUUACUGACGCUGAGACGCGAAAGCGUGGGGAGCAAACAGG
rnacentral:rRNA from 1 species